rnacentral:rRNA from 1 species
AGAGUUUGAUCCUGGCUCAGAACGAACGCUGGCGGCACGUUUUAAGCAUGCAAGUCGAACGGUAGCAGGUCUUCGGAUCUGUGAGAGUGGCGAACGGGUGAGUAACACGUAGGUGAACUGCCAUUUGGUUGGGGAUAGCCCAUGGAAACAUGGAGUAAUACCGGAUAAGCUCUAAGAACUUUGGUUUUUAGAGGAAAGGAGCUUUUGCUUCGCCGAAUGAUGUGCCUGCGGCUUAUUAGCUAGUUGGUGGGGUAAAGGCCUACCAAGGCGAUGAUAAGUAGCCGGCCUGAGAGGGUGACCGGUCACACUGGGACUGAGAUACGGCCCAGACUCCUACGGGAGGCAGCAGCUAAGAAUCUUCCGCAAUGGGCGAAAGCCUGACGGAGCGAUGCCGCGUGGAUGAUGAAGGCCUAACGGUUGUAAAGUCCUUUUCUAUAUGAAGAAUAAGUGAUGGAGGGAAUGCCAUCAUGAUGACGUUAAUAUAGGAAUAAGCCCCGGCUAAUUAUGUGCCAGCAGCCGCGGUAAUACGUAAGGGGCGAGCGUUGUUCGGAUUUAUUGGGCGUAAAGGGCGCGCAGGCGGUCUUGUAAGUCUGAUGUGUAAGACCACGGCUUAACCGUGGGAACGCGUUGGAAACUGCUUGACUUGAGUUCUUGAGGGGAAGUCGGAAUUUCUAGUGUAGGGGCGAAAUCUGUAGAUAUUAGAAAGAACACCGGUGGCGAAGGCGGACUUCUGGCAAUGAACUGACGCUGAGGCGCGAAAGCGUGGGGAGCGAACAGGAUUAGAUACCCUGGUAGUCCACGCCGCAAACGAUGUGCACUAGAUGUCGGACCGUACGGUUCGGUAUCGUAGCUAACGCGUUAAGUGCACCGCCUGGGGAGUAUGCCGGCAACGGUGAAACUCAAAGGAAUUGACGGGGGCCCGCACAAGCGGUGGAGCAUGUGGUUUAAUUCGAUACGCGAGAAACCUUACCAGGGCUUGACAUAUUUAUGACUACUACAGAGAUGUAGUUUCUCUUCGGAGCAUUUAUACAGGUGCUGCAUGGCUGUCGUCAGCUCGUGCCGUGAGGUGUUGGGUUAAGUCCCGCAACGAGCGCAACCCCUAUCGUCUGUUACCAUCAUUAAGUUGGGGACUCAGGCGAGACUGCCGGUGACAAACCGGAGGAAGGUGGGGACGACGUCAAGUCAUCAUGGCCCUUAUGUCCUGUCUACACACGUGCUACAAUGGUCAGUACAGAGUGAAGCGAAGCGGCGACGUGGUGCAAAACGCAAAAAGCUGGCCUCAGUUCGGAUUGAAGUCUGAAACUCGACUUCAUGAAGGUGGAAUCGCUAGUAAUCGCGCAUCAGCACGGCGCGGUGAAUACGUUCCCGGGCCUUGUACACACCGCCCGUCACACCACCCGAGUCGGGGGUACCCAGAGUCAUUAGUCUAACCUGAAUUGGAGGACGGUGCCUAAGGUAUCCCGGGUAAGGGGGGUGAAGUCGGAACAAGGUA